GACGAAGGCUACAAAAAGGGGGACAGCACGGGACACGGCACUCCCCAGCCUGUGCUGUCACUCUUCCAGACCCGGUGACACCCGUUCAACUCACUGCAUCCGUUCUCUGCCAGGGCUGGAGCAGAGCUGUCGUGCUGGGACCACGUAGGGGGUGAGAUGGCGUUGGUGGGACGGGGCGCACGAGGGAAACUGAGGCACAGGGGCGGCUCUGCGGGCGGAGCGCUCCCCGGAGGGCGGUGGAGAUAACGCUAAAAAUACGCCGGGCGCUUUGUUACCGGCGACAAUAGCCCGCGGUAUUUUUAGCUGUUGUGGCGUGAGCAGCGCCGUGACCCCCCCCCGGCCAGCUGCCCCAGCCCGGCCCCCCCACGGCCUCCGGGGCUCGGGGCCGCUUCCCGGUGCUGUGGAAACGGUAACGUUAGAAACUAAACACAAACACCUCCCGGCUGCCACCCCCGGCUGAGUCACGGCGAUGCCGGCUGCCCCCGCCCCUACCUCCAGCUCCGUACCCGUGCCCCAUCCCUGCCCUAAAACCAGUGCCUGGCACCCCCCGGCCAAGCCCCACUCUGGGAUUGCCCCCCAUGGAGGAUACUGCUUCCGCUUUUCCCCAUCUCAGGACUCCGGGAGCAAACCCUGCUAGGUGGCAUUGCUGUCCCCAGCCCCAUGCCAUGGGGACACCUCUCACUGUCCCAAAGCAGACCCCGAGUGGUGCCCGGCUUCCAGCCCUCGCCCCCAAACCUGCCAGCAGCUGCGGCUCUGGCACAGCUCCCACUGUCCCCAUCCCAUGCCAGGGAUAAAAAUAAACAGGCAGGGGAAGGGAGAGGCAGCAGAACUGCAGCGCACCCCGACACCGGGUCCUCUGCAUAGGGAUGGCCAGGCUAUGGGGCUCUGCCAUAGUCCCCGCUGCACCAAAGUGAGUAUUCUUUUCCCACCUCAUCCGAGGACAUGGGACAAGCAGGGAUCCCAGUUGUCUUGUGGGGUCCUGGGGUCCUGCUGGGUUUUGGGGUCGUUUGGGGGAACCGUGGGGCAAAUAGAGCUGCAACCCCAUAGCCAGAGCCACACAUACUGGCAUGGCCACUGGGAAAGGGUGAUGGGACAGUGGCCGUACCGCCUCCUUCCUAAAACUGAGCAAAGGUCUCUGCAGCCGCAGCCGUGCCUAUGUUGGGAUGUUCUAGGGCUGAGGGCGGAUUGCGUCGCAGCUCAGAUUAAUUAACACCGAGCAGCUCUGGAUGCCGGCCCAGGCUGCUUUGCUGUUUUCAUUUUUGCCAGCUCUGAGUCCUGCAGUGUCCGCUGGGUUCGGUGUGAGCCAGGAGGGGAGCACCCAAUGGCAGCUGAUGUGGCCCACACUUUUUGACCACAGGGUUUUUUAAUCCUCUCCCUAUCUUAGUGCCCAGCCCCAGCUCACAGCCCUGAAAAUUAUCUCAAAAACGGAAUUUUUAAAUAAAAGUUGUGAGCCUGUCUGCCUGUGUGCGCGUCCGAUUGCGUUCUCUCUGUCCCAGCCGCCUGUAAAUUUAGCUUUUUCCAUCUCCGGUUGUGUGAGCUGGGCUGGUGGCCAAAGCCCUGCACAGUGCUGCACAGGACAUGAUCCCCAUCCUCACAUGGGUGAGUGGGUGUGCAAAAUGCGUGUGCAAGGACAGGGGGUGUGUUUACACACGUGCCCAGCCGGGAGCAUGCACAUGCAUGGGGGGCUCACGCAGGAGAGCACGGGUGGGCUGCAGUGUGCUGUAGGCAGGUUCCACCAGAGGGUACCCUGUAUCCACGGGACCCAAACCUGCGCUCUGUGGAGGAAUGUGGGGUGGGGGACAAUGGGGUGCCCUUGCUCUGAGGUGUGUGGGCUGGGGGCUUGGAGCUCUGGCAUGAACUUCCACCCCCCCCGCCCCCCCGCCACUCAUUGUGACUAGGCUGAGACCUGAGCAACCUCAUCACUGCUAACAGCAAGGAGUGGAGGGAGCAGGGAUUUCUGCUCUGUGCCCCCUCCCAGCACUGUGAGCUUAGGGAAUAGCAUUGUCCCAUGCGUGUGGGUCAGCCUCCACCCCCUCAUGGCCCCCCCAGCACAGAACAGCGGGCCCUAGGCGAUGAUCCCAGUCCCUCCCACCACCAGCCCAGCCCCUCAUCACAGCUGGAGCACAGCUGUCCUCCACUCCUUACCCCAGCACUGCUGUCUUCACUUUGAGACAGCAGUGGUCCCGGUGGACCUUGCUGAGCCACAUUGGGGCCAGGCAGGGGGACUGGGGCAAGCCUGGCCCCGCAGCGCCUUGAAACCAACCCAACUUGCUGGGGAGGCCAGACCUGCUUGAGGACUGGGGUUUCCAUGGUUGGGCAAGCCUCUCCCCUAGGAUGGGCCCCAUUCCCAAAACAUAAGGGACCCCUUUAGCGUCCUCUCCUUGCUGCUAGGUGGGCAAUCCCUGUCGGCUGUGCCUGUCUCCAGAGGCAUGAGACCUGCAGCUCCACUUUUUCCGGCCACCCCAGAAAGAGACAUUGUGCCUUUAAGACACAGCGCGGGGCACAAAGCAGCUUUGUGUCCUGACUUGCUGAGUUUUCCCAGCACGGCUUUGUCCCGGGACAUGUAUGGGCACAGCGUGCUCAGCAACACAGAGGGACACAUGGCUGCUAUAUUGCAAUGCAGGAUGGACACAAAGCAGGGCAGGGAGCAGAAGCAGCAGAGACGGCCAGAACCCAUUGCUGGGCAUGGGGUGGAGCCUGGGAUGGGGGCAAGGAGACAAGAGACGGGAUUGCUUUCACAAUGCAGUUGGGGGUAACAGAGCAAAAACCAUCCGUCCAUCCACCCAUCUGUCCCCAUGUCCCCAGUCACCCACCCACCCCACAAUACCACCCCACCCCCAUUCCCCACCCACCCCUCACACAGGGGCUCUCUGAGGGGUUUCACCCCACCGAGCUGUGCGACCUCAGAGAGACGUUCCGGUCCCCCAACAGCCACAGCAGGACCGCAGUGACCCCAUUGGCCGUGGGGUGACCCCACGGGCGCCUCAUAGCAGCACGGUGGGGACAUUCGUGUCCCCGUGCCAUGGAGGCCGCUCCGCACAGCGUCCCGCUGCCCUCCGUGUUUUCCCUGCAGCCUUUUGUGUGCGUGGCGGCGUGGCAGCGCGCGGGUAGGCCGCAUGGCGCCCGGCCUUCCCCACCUCCGUCCUCCUCCCCCCGAUCCCCGCCUCCCUCAGCCGCCAUUUCGCAGCGCCGGCAUCGCCCGCUCUCCACAUCAUGGAGGACCACAGUGCAGGGGGGAAACAAAGAGCCGCGGCCUGCACCACUGCCCCGCGCGUCCCCUCCUGCCGUCUGGGGCAGCAGGGCACUGUACAGGCAUUUAAUAUUCCAUUCCCUUCUCCAUCCCCUCCCUGCGAAGGGGCUUGGCAUCACAAUGCCGUGCAGGUGGGAUGCUCUGAGCCCACGUCCCGCAGCAGGGCUCGGAGCAGGGAGCCAUGCCCCCGGCACGCACGCGGUGAUGGCCAUAGGGACCCACGUGGCGCCCACCCCUGUGGGCUCCUGCCCAGCAGCACAGGGGUCCGUUUUCAAGCUUCCCUCUGUGACUGCAAAGACCAGAGACUGCGAGAACCAAAGUCCUGCACGCAGCAGACCAGGAUGCUUAGAGAAACACUGGACUGAGGGCAACACCAUUUCCAGAAUGGAUCAAAGCUUAUCCUUCAAGCAGAACAUGAUGGGCACCCUGUGUGUGGCUUCUCCACAGUCUAAUAUGGGGUUGUGCUGCAGGGCACCCCCCAGGAAAAAGAAUCCACCCCACCCCCAGCUGCACUUCGCCCAGCCCUGCUGACCUGAGUGUGUUUGCAGAUUUCUGCCCCUCCAUCCACUGGGAUGGAAAUGUGGUCAAAGUUUAUUAGAAGAGUGCCAGCUACACAUGCAUGUGCAUGUGUCUGUGCAUAUAUAUAAGCAAAGCACAACCUUUGUUUUGUUUUCUUAGGAAGCCACUCUGCAAAGCAAGGCCACGAGCAGAGGAAGCCAACAGGCAGGAAGAGGAUUGACUGUGUUUGUGUUUCUAAACGUGUGCUGCUCCCAGCAUGGGAUGGCAAGUGGGGAAGGAGGACACGGGGGCUGCAGGGGCAAAGUGCCACCAUCACGGUGACUGUCAGGAGAUCAUACUAUAGCCAAGCUCUUGGACUCAUGGACACUGUCCCACCACCACCACAGUGACCCCAGCCCCAUCCUAGGACACCCAUAUGUCCAGGCUAUAGCAGCAACAGCAGCACUGGAAGGAGCAACAGCUCUGGGCAGGAGCCAAAGUGGUGUCUCAGGGCCAGGAAAGCUGCGGUGACUCAGAGGCAAGAGGGGAAAUUGAGCCCCACUUUGGCCCCCCCACAGCUUCUCAGCUGGUUUCCUGGCUCCUUUCAAUUUGCGUAAUGGACCUUGCAAAGGGGGAGCAGCUGAGCUACUCCCCCAGGGACACUGUGUGUCCCACAGUGCAGCAGGAUCCCAGUGUCAGCCCUGGCUCCUGCUCAUGCUAAUGGCUUCCUGCACAUGUUGCUUGCAAGGGUCUGCCCUUCGAGAUGUCAAUUCUGUCCUCUGCUCUCACAAGACUGUGAGGGCACAGAGCUGUGUCAUGCAGGUGGCAGAGUGGGUGACAUGCCUUUGGGAGCAAAGAGCAAACUCAGCUGGAAAGAGUGACCAACAAGCUGAUCCCUUUCCCAGCUCCAGUGCCACCAGCGUGUCCCCUUCCAGCCCUGCCCCAUAGUGCCAUUUGGGGACAAACUCUGGAAAAGUGUAACACAGACUGGCUCCAGUGCCCAUGGUGCUGUUGGUUGGUUGGCUCCAGCCGUUGUUGUUUAGUCCAGCUUUGCAGCUUUCAAGGCCUUGGCACAGCUCAGGGACUGGAGCAGCACGUUGGCUAGAAGGCAGCGCUGGGGCUGAGGGGGGGUUGGAGAAUACAGCAGGUCCCAAUGCCACGGGGCUGGCUGAGGACUGAGCAGCACUGUGGUCACUGCCCAGAGCCGCCACUCGUGGCAGUGCCCAGGGACAAGGCAACAGGAGCUGCAAGGACACCCUGGUCAACUUUAAGUCACCCCAGAACUGAGAGGGGUGGGAGCUGCAGGGCUGCUUACUUCCAAGUGGGGAAACUGAGGCAGCCCCCCAGCUCCUGCCUUGUACCAGGGCACGCCCCACCAGUGCCCCCCCCAGUCCAGCCAAUGGGAGCAAAGCCUGGAGGCUCUCAUCAGCCCUACGCAGCGCUGAGCCCCCUAGCGACCCUACACCAACAAGGGAAGCCGUGCCCCAUUCCCAAUAAAUCCGGGCACUUCCACCAGCAGGCAGCACCUCCAGCACAACACGCUCAACACAACACCCCCAACCAACCCAGCAGCCCCUGCCAUAACAAACCACCAGGUGCAAAGGAGGAAGGAAACAAGGCGGUUAAAAGAAAAAAAAAAAGCCCAAAUAAUAAUUUAAACAGAAAGCAACAGACCCGGCAUAACAGCAAGCAGGGCGAGCCGAGCUGCCGCGUGUUUAUUCGGGUGCGGGAGAAGAGGAAGAGAAAUACCUGCCCGGAGACAGCCGGGGUCCCUCGCAGCCGCCCCGGCCGCUGCCCCCCGGCUGCGGGGACGGACGCGCCCCGGCCCCGCCGCUGCCGCCGGGCUGUGGUGCACAAAGGGCUCCGCUUUUAAAGCCCACGGCCCGAUUUCCCCCAACCCCACCGGGCCCUGAUUGGUUGGGCCGGGGCAGCGCUGCCGGCUGAGCCCCCCCCUCGGCGAGAAAGGGGUGUGGGUGAAGGCGGGGGGGGAGAGAAAGAAUAUAUAUUAAAAAAAAAAAAAAA